UGAGGAAUAUUGGUCAAUGGACGAGAGUCUGAACCAGCCAAGUAGCGUGAAGGAUGACUGCCCUAUGGGUUGUAAACUUCUUUUAUACGGGAAUAAAGUUAGCCACGUGUGGUUUUUUGUAUGUACCGUAUGAAUAAGGAUCGGCUAACUCCGUGCCAGCAGCCGCGGUAAUACGGAGGAUCCGAGCGUUAUCCGGAUUUAUUGGGUUUAAAGGGAGCGUAGAUGGGUUGUUAAGUCAGUUGUGAAAGUUUGCGGCUCAACCGUAAAAUUGCAGUUGAUACUGGCAGUCUUGAGUACAGUUGAGGUAGGCGGAAUUCGUGGUGUAGCGGUGAAAUGCUUAGAUAUCACGAAGAACUCCGAUUGCGAAGGCAGCUUACUAACCUGUAACUGACAUUGAUGCUCGAAAGUGUGGGUAUCAAACAGGAUUAGAUACCCUGGUAGUCCACACGGUAAACGAUGAAUACUCGCUGUAGGCGAUAUACAGUCUGCGGCCAAGCGAAAGCAUUAAGUAUUCCACCUGGGGAGUACGCCGGCAACGGUGAAACUCAAAGGAAUUGACGGGGGCCCGCACAAGCGGAGGAACAUGUGGUUUAAUUCGAUGAUACGCGAGGAACCUUACCCGGGCUUAAAUUGCAACCGAAUAUGGCGGAAACGCUAUAGCUAGCAAUAGCGGUUGUGAAGGUGCUGCAUGGUUGUCGUCAGCUCGUGCCGUGAGGUGUCGGCUUAAGUGCCAUAACGAGCGCAACCCUUGCCGAUAGUUACUAACAGGUUAUGCUGAGGACUCUGUCGGGACUGCCAUCGUAAGAUGUGAGGAAGGUGGGGAUGACGUCAAAUCAGCACGGCCCUUACGUCCGGGGCUACACACGUGUUACAAUGGGGGGUACAGAGGGCUGCUACCACGCAAGUGGAUGCCAAUCCCAAAAACCUCUCUCAGUUCGGAUUGAAGUCUGCAACCCGACUUCAUGAAGCUGGAUUCGCUAGUAAUCGCGCAUCAGCCACGGCGCGGUGAAUACGUUCCC
rnacentral:rRNA from 1 species